UGGUUCCUGAGAAGAUUUUUAAAGAUGCCACUAAAUUUUCAUGAACUCUUCAUUAUCUCUCCUUGAAAGAAGGCAUGGCACUUCCUGUGAACAAACUUAAAUCCUCUUCACCCAAGGAUGCUUUGUCACAUUUGCAGGUUAAAAAAAAUGGAGUACAUUGUUAUGAUGACCAGACUCGAAGGCAUUCAUGUAAUUGGGUGAAUCACAGAGUCUCAGGAAUCUUCUGGACUAACCAAAAGUGAUGGCUGAAACAAAUAUUAACUGGUAGUCUACUUAGUGAUCUGGACACUGGAUAAGGCAGAAACCAUUUUCAACAGAACUGUUAAGAGUGUAAAUAAAAAAAAAAACAAGAUACCCACUCUCCAACUCAUUCAUAGCUUCAUUCUUGGCUUCAUUGUGUUGAAUAUGAGUCAAGACUUUUCUAUUGUACCAAGGCUGAAGGGACUUUCAAACCAUAAACAACAUCACCACAGAGCAGUUGACUUUCAUUUCUUCUUCUGAAUUUGUAUGUUAUACCCUUAAUUAUUACAGUGUGAAUUUACUUUGCACAAAAGAAGAUGUAAAUUAGCAUAACUUCAACAAGUAUUUACUUUGUCAGUUUUAGACACAUAACUCAAUUAUUUGGUAUUUUAAAAAAAAGUAAUUGGCAGCAUUUACUGUGGAAUCAUCAUUGUUCUUGGAGGAGGAUAGGUGGGUCAAACAUAUCCACUAAUUUAUAUUCCCACAAAUACUUAUUUUUUCAACUUGUCAAUUCAUUGAAUCUUUAACUUAAUGUAUUUUAAAGUUAACCUUAUGAAUUAUGUCUGCACAAACCAGUUGAAUUAAAUGCCUGCCCACUAACAGCUGAUUAAUCCCCCCCCCCCCCACAAUAAAAUGAUUCCACAGUUUUUCAAUUUUCAAAAACUAUAGAAGGCCAUAUACAUGUAUCUGCAGGUACUUUGGGUGGUUUAAUCAUCUUUGCUUGUGCUGGUCUGUCUGAUGCCUUCAUCAGCUAGCUAUUCUGUAUCCUACAAUUAAAUUCUUGUUUCCAAA